ensembl:lncRNA
UGUGUGUGUGUGUUUAUGUAUAUAUGUGUGUGUGUGUGUGUGUGUGUGUGUGUGUGUGUGUGUGUGUGUGUGUGUGUGUGUGUGUGUGUGUGUGUGGGUGUGUGUGUGUGUGUGUGUGUGUGUGUGUGUGUGUGUGUGUGUGUGUGUGUGUGUGUGUGCUCAUGUGUGUGCGUGUUUGUGCGUGUACUUGCAUGCUCGUGUGUGUGAGUGUGUGUGUCUGUGAGUGUGCUCAGGUGUGUGUAUCUACUGGUGGGUUCCACAUUGAUGCAGCCGUCCUCUACUCACUUACCACGCACAGAGAUGGACUGGAGAGACCAAAAUACAGAGCCACAAGAGGGGCUCCAUGAUUUAGAAUGCGGUCAUCCAUUUUCAACACGAGGGAACAAGGAGAGCGAUUGGAUGGAGAAGA